rnacentral:rRNA from 1 species
AUGGUUGGACAUGGCACCACUGCUUCAGUUAGAUUCAUUAAUUUAGGCAACAUGUCACACAUCUUGCGUGAUAUAAGACUUUUUAGAGAUUUCAAUAGGGUCUACAUACAGAUGUAUAUAAAUGUAUUUACCGAAAAAGGGUUUCCCCCCGCUUUGUAUUACAAAGCAACAACAUCGAUACAACCCACGAUAGGUGCCGGGGCGGAAGCAGCACAGGCACGCCCAAAAGAAAAAAAGAGAAAACACAAAAGGAAAAAAAAUGCCGACAACGGCGGAUCAACAAAAACAAAGAUGACUCGCCACCGCUGCGCCCGCCGGAGAGUUCCACCACGCUCCUAG